rnacentral:rRNA from 1 species
GAUGAACGCUGGCGGCGUGCCUAAUACAUGCAAGUCGAGCGGAAAGGUCCCUCCAGGCUAUUUAAGCGAAAGUUUGAAUAGUGUGGUGGGAUACUCGAGCGGCGGACGGCUGAGUAACACGUAGGAACGUACCCCAAACUGAGGGAUAAGCACCAGAAAUGGUGUCUAAUACCGCAUGUGGUCUUCGGAUUAAAGCUUCGGCGGUUUGGGAACGGCCUGCGCAUGAUUAGCUUGUUGGUAAGGUAAUGGCUUACCAAGGCUAUGAUCAUU